GGUUCCGUGCCCCUUGUCGGGCUGCUUGUUUGGCUGCUGCCGUCACCUCAUGGCGACGCGGGUAGAAGAGGCUUCGCGGGGAAGAGGCGGCGGCGCCGAGGAGGCAGUUGAGGCCGGACGGGGCGGACGGCGACGCAGCCCGCGGCAGAAGUUUGUGAUUGGCACAAUGGAAGAAGCUGGAAUGUGCGGGCUAGGGGUGAAAACGGAUAUGUUGCAUAACUCUCAGUCCAAUGAUAUUCUUCAGCAUCAAGGCUCACACUGUGGUGGCACAAGUAACAAGCAUUCCUUGGAAGAGGAUGCACACAGUGACUUUAUCACGAAGGGCAGGAGUUUGGUGAGCCCAGAGUACUGCACACGAGAGUCAAGGGAGGAAAUUCCUGGGCGAGAGGCUCGAACAGAUCCUCCUGAUGGUCAGCAAGAUUCAGAGUGCGACAGGAACAAAGACAAAACCUUAGGAAAAGAAGUCUUAUUAUUGAUGCAAGCCCUAAACACCCUUUCAACUCCAGAAGAAAAGCUGGCAGCUCUCUGUAAGAAAUAUGCCGAUCUUCUGGAGGAGAGCAGGAACGUUCAGAAGCAAAUGAAGAUUCUGCAGAAGAAGCAAGCCCAGAUCGUGAAAGAGAAAGUUCAUUUGCAGAGUGAACACAGCAAGGCUAUCUUGGCAAGAAGCAAACUCGAGUCUCUUUGCAGGGAACUUCAGCGUCACAAUAAGACGUUAAAGGAAGAAAAUACGCAGCAGGCACGAGAGGAGGAAGAAAGACGGAAAGAGGCCACUGCACACUUCCAAAUCACUUUGAAUGAAAUCCAGGCACAGCUGGAGCAACACGACAUACACAACGCCAAGCUCCGCCAGGAGAACGUCGAGCUGGGCGAAAAGCUGAAGAAGCUCAUCGAGCAGUACGCACUGAGGGAGGAGCACAUUGAUAAAGUAUUCAAACACAAGGAACUGCAGCAGCAGCUUGUGGACGCCAAACUGCAGCAGACGACACAGCUGAUAAAAGAAGCUGAUGAGAAGCAUCAAAGAGAGAGAGAGUUUUUAUUAAAAGAAGCAACGGAAUCAAGACACAAAUAUGAACAAAUGAAACAACAAGAAGUACAACUAAAACAGCAGCUUUCUCUUUAUAUGGAUAAGUUUGAAGAAUUCCAGACUACCAUGGCAAAAAGUAAUGAACUGUUUACAACCUUCCGGCAGGAAAUGGAAAAGAUGACAAAGAAAAUUAAAAAACUGGAAAAAGAAACGAUAAUAUGGCGGACCAAAUGGGAAAACAAUAACAAAGCACUUCUGCAAAUGGCUGAAGAGAAAACUGUGCGAGAUAAAGAGUACAAGGCCUUUCACAUAAAACUGGAACGGCUGGAGAAGCUGUGCCGGGCCCUGCAGACGGAGAGGAACGAGCUCAGUGAGAAGGUCGAGGUGCUGAAGGAACAGGUCUCGGGGAGGGCGGCGGGCGGGGGCCCAGCACCGCCCAGGGCCCAGCCCUGCGCUGCCCCGGCUUCUGCCGAGGAGCCCAGCGCCGCCUGGCAAAGCACUGCCCGUGUCAGCCCGGAGGCCGAGUCCCUGGGUGCCGGGCCCAGCAUCGAGUCAGUUGACUGAGAUCAAGUAUGAUCACUGUAUCGAGAGCUCUAUUUUGUGUAUAACUUUCUGUUAGUAGUAACUUGGUUUUGUGGUGAAAAUUUUCUUACUUUUUCUACCAUAUCUGUAUUUUCUUAGAACUACUGGACUUAUGUGGUACAGGAGGCUGCUUGGCAGCCCACGUCUUUCAUGAGGAUACGAAUUGUUAAGAGGCAGUCUUGUUUUGCUUUUCAAAGACAUUUUGUAGAGAUUUUUCACUAAUGUGAAUCUGAUUUUAUCUACUCAAUUCUGUAUAGAUUAAGUAAAUAUGUAUGAUAAACUUAA